AAGACUAUACUUUCAGGGAUCAUUUCUAUAGUUUCUGACUUGAGAAAUGCGUUUCUAAUUUGUUUGGUCUCGCUAACCACGAUGAAGAGAUGGUGAUACUCUUCCCUGAGCGCGAAGCGGGCGGACAGACUUGAUUCAUUUCAUACGCUGUCCGCUUUUGAUGACCGUUCUUUGUCUCCUCGGGGACAUAGAGGGGAAGAGUAUGUGCGGAGUGGU
rnacentral:snoRNA from 11 species